ACCAGAUAUAGUCCGGCUACGUGUAACCCACUUUUAGCCCAAAUAACAUUUAAUCUGGAUAAAUGUAUUUUUUUUGCAAAAUAACUUGUGAGAUGUAUGAUAUUCCAUCAUGUACGCAGAGUCUAACGUGAUUACAAGUUGUUUGGUUUACUUUAUUUUACAUGUUAUAUGUGUAGGCUGUGCGUAGCCACAAUUUAGCUCGUAUUCAGACCCGGCUAUUGUAGCCCACUUUUUGUCAAAACUAAUUAAUUGUAUUUUUUUGCCAGGCAGUGCAUGAAAUGGUUAAUAUUCAAUCAUGUUCGCAUUGGUAUGAUAUCAAGGUUCAAUACGUCAUUUCACGGCAUGGUAGAUCACGAUUUAGCUCCGAAUUGGACGGGCUAUAUGCGGUCUGCUUUAGCCCACCUGGCGAAAUUAUUGCAAUCUGGGCUCAGAUAUAGACCAGCGACCUAGAAUAUUAGUCUUUGAAAUGUUUUCGCUUACACAGCUUAAUAUAUAUUUUCUGUCAAACAUUCAUACACAAUCUACGAUAAAAAUAUCUAAUCAAAUGCAAUUGCAUUUCCCAACCGCUAGAUGGCACAAUUGAAACACUACUGAGACAUGUCUACUAGAACUAAUGCCAUUGCGUGACUAGAUCACUUAAGCCAAAUCUCGCGAUAAACAUUUCCGCCAUUUUAUUUUACACGAGGCAGCUGUCGGAGUGCAACGGGUGAGCAACAGUCUGAGUGAAAACCUUCACAUUUCUACUUCGAUCUUAAGAAAGCCAUACAGGUUUGGAACCAAGUGAAAACGCAGUGAUGACCAGCUUUCCAUCAGCUAUGGAAUGUGAAAUAAAAAAUGCUAUUUCUAAUAAUUUCAAACAAGCACCAGGGAGGGCAGGGGUUAUGGAUCUAAAGUAAACAGUUAAUUCUUAAAAAUUAAUUGUUUUACAUAUUUUUCCAAUGUUUUAUUUGUUCAUUUUUAUGUUUGAAUGUUGUCCAAGUUGUUGUUGUCUAUAUAAUUGUUCAAAAUAAAUCCCUUUAUAUUCAAUUAGUUUGGAUGGAUUUUAAUUUAUGAGAACCUGUUAUAUUUGAGUGAAAAGAAUCCUUAUGCCUCUUUUUGUUGUCUAUUACAUGUAUAUGUAGUGUAAUGGAUGACUAGUCUAUUCUUGGGCUAUGGUUAGACGUCUAUUAGAUUUUCACUGACAGCCCAAAAUCAGCCUUGUUUUAGCCUAGACCCAUAUUGCCUGUCUAUUAGACGUAUGUAGUUGUUUAGCGGUCUAAUUGAUGACUAGUCUAUUCUUGGGCUAUGUUUAGACGUCUAUUGGACGUAUAAAUAUAGUCGUUCAAUAGCUGUCUGAUUGUCUAUUCUUGGGCUAUGGUUAGACAUCUAUUAGACGUAUAUAUGUAGUCAUUUAAUAGCUGUCUAUUCUUGGGGUAUGUUUAGACGUCUAUUAGAUUUUCACUGACAGCCCAAAAUUAGCCUCGAUUUAGCCUAGACGUCUCGGCUGUGUUUAGACGGCUAUUAGACGUCUAUUAGACGCAAAAUUGCUUGCUGGGAAA